CGGGAGUCCAAUCACUGCACCGUUAUCACUAUUGGGUCGAUGGAGAAAGGGUGAAACAGAGGUACUUCUCGAACACAUUUUUCAUGCUUCACGGAGUCCUUGUACCAUAUGAUGAAAGCCCUGCCAGACCCUACUGGUCAUACUCCACCACAGACUUCUGGAGAUACAUUGAGUACUUCAGAAGCAUUGGGGUCUACAACCAGAUUAACGAGAUGGCCAGGACAUUUUUCGCUCACCAGCACCUGGGCGAUACAAUGGGCUACGAUGCUGUUGAGUCAGAACAUGAGCAUUGAAGAGCCUUUCACUCAGCAAUACAACAGUAUGUACAGCUGAAUGUAGUCUUAGUUGUCAUAACAAGCCUUUAAUUGGGGUUUAGCCUUAGAGGAUGUAUACUAUAUUCUGGUUACAUUCUACAGUAAUGUUGCAAUCCUCUGUUUUCAGCUGUGUUGCAUAUAUAAACAUGGCUUUAAGUGUAUUAUGUGAUAAUAGAUGAGAUGUAUUUGGUGCUGUAAUAUUAAAUGUUUAUAAACUA